rnacentral:rRNA from 1 species
AUCGCUCGCGAUGUUUAACUGACAUGAUUGGGGACGUCCUACCGGUGGACUUAGCCUCUUCGGGGGCGGUCCAGCUAAUAUCCCAUCGCGGUGCUCUUCAUCGAGUGUCGAGGUGGGCCGGUACGUUUACUUUGAACAAAUUAGAGUGCUCAAAGCAGGC